GACGAACGCUGGCGGCGUGCUUAAAACAUGCAAGUCGAACGAAGUGGCGAACGGGUGAGUAACGCGUAAUCAACCUGCCCUUCAGAGGGGGACAACAGUUUGAAACGACUGCUCAUACCGCAUACUGAAGGAGGGGAUUGCGUUUGAUUAGCUAGUUGGAGGGGUAACGGCCAACCAAGGCGAUGAUCAGUAGCCGGUCUCAGAGGAUGGACGGCUACCUUGGGACUGAGACACGGCCCCAACCUCUACCGGAUGCAGCAGUGGGGAAUCUUCCGCCAUGGACGAAAGUCUGACGCAGCAACGCCGCGUGAGUGAUGACGGCCUUCGGGUUGUAAAGCUCUGUUAAUCGGGACGCGGUACCGGAAUAGAAAGCCACGGCUAACUACGUGCCAGCAGCCGCGGUAAUAC
rnacentral:rRNA from 1 species